UACGUAGGGUGCAAGCGUUGUCCGGAAUUAUUGGGCGUAAAGAGCUCGUAGGCGGUCUGUUGCGUCGGCUGUGAAAACCCGGGGCUCAACCCCGGGCCUGCAGCCGAUACGGGCAGACUAGAGUUCGGCAGGGGGGACUGGAAUUCCUGGUGUAGCGGUGAAAUGCGCAGAUAUCAGGAGGAACACCGGUGGCGAAGGCGGGUCUCUGGGCCGAUACUGACGCUGAGGAGCGAAAGCGUGGGGAGCGAACAGG
rnacentral:rRNA from 1 species